rnacentral:rRNA from 1 species
CAGCACCUCAAGUGGUCAGGAUGAUUAUUGGGCCUAAAGCAUCCGUAGCCGGCUCUGUAAGUUUUCGGUUAAAUCUGUAUGCUCAACAUACAGGCUGCCGGGAAUACUGCAGAGCUAGGGAGUGGGAGAGGUAGACGGUACUCGGUAGGAAGGGGUAAAAUCCUUUGAUCUAUUGAUGACCACCUGUGGCGAAGGCGGUCUACCAGAACACGUCCGACGGUGAGGGAUGAAAGCUGGGGGAGCAAACCGGAUUAGGUACCCGAGUAGUCC